CGCUGGCGGUAUGCCUAACACAUGCAAGUCGAACGAGAUCAAUAUUUGUUUACAAAAAAUUGAUUGCAGUGGCGGACGGGUGAGGAACACGUAAGAACUUACCUUUUGGCGGGGGAUAACAACGGGAAACUGUUGCUAAUACCCCAUAAUGCUGAGGAGCAAAAGGGAAACUGCCAAGAGAGAGGCUUGCGUCUGAUUAGCUAGUUGGAGGAGGUAAAUGCUCCCCAAGGCGACGAUCAGUAGCUGGUCUGAGAGGAUGAUCAGCCACACUGGGACUGAGACACGGCCCAGACUCCUACGGGAGGCAGCAGUGGGGAAUUUUCCACAAUGGGCGAAAGCCUGAAUGGAGCAAUACCGCGUGAGGGAUGAAGGAUCGUGGUCUGUAAACCUCUUUUCUUAAGGAAGAAUCAAUGACGGUACUUAAGGAAUAAGCACCGGCUAACUCCGUGCCAGCCGCGGC
rnacentral:rRNA from 1 species